UGGGGAAUUUUGGACAAUGGGCGAAAGCCUGAUCCAGCAAUGCCGCGUGUGUGAAGAAGGCCUUCGGGUUGUAAAGCACUUUUGUCCGGAAAGAAAUCCUUGGCUCUAAUACAGUCGGGGGAUGACGGUACCGGAAGAAUAAGCACCGGCUAACUACGUGCCAGCAGCCGCGGUAAUACGUAGGGUGCAAGCGUUAAUCGGAAUUACUGGGCGUAAAGCGUGCGCAGGCGGUUUGCUAAGACCGAUGUGAAAUCCCCGGGCUCAACCUGGGAACUGCAUUGGUGACUGGCAGGCUAGAGUAUGGCAGAGGGGGGUAGAAUUCCACGUGUAGCAGUGAAAUGCGUAGAGAUGUGGAGGAAUACCGAUGGCGAAGGCAGCCCCCUGGGCCAAUACUGACGCUCAUGCACGAAAGCGUGGGGAGCAAACAGGAUUAGUACCCUGGUAGUCCCACGCCCUAAACCGAUGUCAACUAGUUGUUGGGGAUUCAUUUCCUUAGUAACGUAGCUAACGCGUGAAGUUGACCGCCUGGGGA
rnacentral:rRNA from 1 species